ensembl:lncRNA
UAAGCAAGACAAUGAUCCAAAACACACCGCCAACACAACAAAGGACUUUAUCGGGGGAAAAGUGGAAGGUCUUAGACUGGUCAAGUCAAUCACCAGACCUUAACCCAAUUGAGCAGCAUUUCACCUCCUGAAGAAGAGACUGAAGGAAUAAACCCCUCAAAACAACCGAAAGAGGCUGCGGUACGAGCCUGAAAAAGCAUCACAAAAGAAGAAUGAAACUAUAUCAGGCUGCCCUGAUAUAGUUAUUGCAAGCAAGCGAUAUGCAACCAAAUAUUAAGUGUUAUUUGCUUUCAUUUACUUUAAGACUAUCUGUUCCUAUAAUUUUGCUCACCUAAAAAGUGGGUGGUCUUGUUCAAAGUUGUUUAACACAUCUAGAUAUAAAUAUCGGGAAACGAAAGCUGAAAUUCUGAUCUAUCAUCUCACAUUCAUCUUUUGCUCUCAAACCCAAAUGCCUUCAGUAUAGCAUAAACAAUGGAAUUGGCCUUACCGUUCCAGUACUUUCGGAGGGGGCUGUAUAUUUAAAGAUUUAACUCAUCCACUAAUUACCAAUAGCUGAGACAGAUGUCGUAAAUACUGUGCGCUGACUUGAAUUCCCACCGUGGCCCUGUGUGUGCGGAGUAUGCAUGCUGCGGGGGUUUCCUCCAGGUACUCCGGUUUUCUCCCCCACGCUGAUUGGCGUGUCCAGAGUGUCCGUAGUGUAUGAAUGUGUAUGUGAUUGUGCCCUGCGAUGGAUUGGCACCCUGUCCAAGCUGUACCCUGCCUUGUGCCCGAUGCUCCCUGGGAUAGGGUACAGGUUUCCCCGUGAUCCUGAAAAGGAUAAAAGAUGGAUGGAUGGAUGGAUUUUGACUGGCAUUUUAUAGAGGUUGAUCUUUGGAUUGGGGCCUGUAAUUUUUCACUACCUGUUAUAUUGGACACUCCAACACUAGAACUGUGUACUGGUCGGCGCUACACUGUUACUUACUGUGCUCAUUGUCCUGUUUUAGUAGUUAGUGUACUGUCUUGUGUUGUUUACACAUGUUUGCACGUGCACUUUAUGUAGAAUGUGUAGGUCUUAUUUAGUUCUGUGUCGUCUCGUGUGGUCAGGGUGUUGUUGUAUGUAGCACCGUGGUCCUGGAUGAACGUUGUUUCAUUUCACUGUGUACUGUACCAGCUGUAUAUGGUUGAAAUGACAAUAAAAAGCCACUUGACCACUUGACUUGAUUUGAUUUUUCAGGUAAACAAAGAAACGAAUGAUGCAGGCAUUAAAUGUUAAACCUUAAUUUUGGAUGCUUUGGAAGCCUGCUUAUGUAUGUGCUGUUCAAAUAACGUGCAGGAUCACGUUCCCCAUAUUUCUUAUAGCGGAUGCUUACAGUGGGCUUGUUGUGAACAGAUUUUUAUAAAGGUCACUAUAUACCCAGAAGUCUAUUUUUUUCUGGUAAGCCGGUUUUAAAGAAGUGUGUAGACUGAGGAGGUUGACAUUCAUGUUUGGAUUUUUCCUGCAGUACCUUUGAUUAUACUCGUAUUGCACACACAAUUGAAAAGGGGACGGUCCAAAGGGGACAUGGUAAACUGACAGCUCUUCUGCUCCAGUCCCGUUGCCUUAUGGGAUAGCACAGUAUCCACAGUGUCCAGUGAUUCCAUACGGCAGAAUGUCGGCGGAAGCAGUAGGUCAUCCAGG